GUCAGCAGCCGCGGGAACACCGGCGGCCCGAGUGGUGAUCGUGAUUAUUGGGUCUAAAGGGUCCGUAGCCGGUUUGGUCAGUCCUCCGGGAAAUCUGAUAGCUCAACUAUUAGGCUUUCGGGGGAUACUGCCAGACUUGGAACCGGGAGAGGUAAGAGGUACUACAGGGGUAGGAGUGAAAUCUUGUAAUCCCUGUGGGACCACCUGUGGCGAAGGCGUCUUACCAGAACGGGUUCGACGGUGAGGGACGAAAGCUGGGGGCACGAACCGGAUUAGAUACCCGGGUAGUCCCAGCCGUAAACGAUGCUCGCUAGGUGUCAGGCAUGGCGCGACCGUGUCUGGUGCCGCAGGGAAGCCGUGAAGCGAGCCACCUGGGAAGUACGGCCGAAAGGCUGAAACUUAAAGGAAUUGGCGGGGGAGCACAACAACGGGUGGAGCCCUGCGGUUUAAUUGGACUCAACGCCGGACAACUCACCGGGGGCGACAGCAAUAUGUAGGCCAAGCUGAAGACUUUGCCUGAAUCGCUGAGAAGUGGUGCAUGG
rnacentral:rRNA from 1 species